UCACUGUUUGUCAAUAGCCUCGC
rnacentral:miRNA from 1 species